rnacentral:rRNA from 1 species
UACGAGGGGGGCGAGCGUUGUUCGGAAUUAUUGGGCUUAAAGCGCGUGUAGGCGGAGCCGUAAGUACCUUGUGAAAUCCCCGGACUCAAUCCGGGAACUGCUCGGUAUACUGCGGUUCUCGAGGCAGGUAGAGGUCACUGGAACCUUAGGUGGAGCGGUGAAAUGCGUAGAUAUCUAAGGGAACGCCUGUGGCGAAAGCGG